GGAACACCUCCAGGGAUGGUGACUCUACCACCUCCAUGGGCAGCCUGUGCCAGCACCACUCUUACAGACAAGAAAUUCUUCCUAAAAUCCAACCUGAACCUCCCCUCGUGCCACUUGAUGCCACUACCCUUCAUCCUAUUCUUGGAGAAGGAGAAACUGCUUACAAACUGACAUCAACAACUAAAAAAACCCAGAAACAGAAAAUGAAUUAAAGAAAUAUCUUUUCAGAUUUGUAACAUUUUAAAUCCUCCGUUUUAUUUUACAACAGUAUUGUGAAGAAGUGUUCCUAUAUAUUUUCUCUUGGAGAACUAAAUAUGAUUAUUCUUCUCUCCCUUUUGACUUUCCAUUUGGUGGGCUGAGGAUUGCUGCAGCUUCACUCAGCAUGUUUUGAUACAGCUGGAUGAGGAAUCAUGUGGACUUAUUUUUCCUUCUUGAUUCAACCACUCCCAUGACAUCGGCUUCUCUUUACAUGUCUCCUCACCUGAUUCAGUUGUCCCAGCAGACUAAUCAUCCCUUCCUUACUUCACAUUUACGUUCAGCUCAGGAGUUCUCCUCCUCCAUUUCAUUCAAAGAGCUCAAAUACAAGGUCAUAAUCAGAUUCCAGGCAAUGUCAUCCAAGCAUGCUUCUAGUCACUUGCAGUUCUCAGGAUGACUACAUGAGCCUUUGUUUGCAACUUUAUUCUCUCCUAAUCUAUAUCAUAGAAUGCUUAGAGUUGGAAGGGACCUUUAAAAGUCUUCUAGUCCAACUCCCCUGCAAUGAACUGGGACAUCCACAGCUCAGAGGUCCAGUCUGGCUAUGAAAGUCUCCAGGGAUGAGGCAUCCACCAUCUUCCUGGGCAACCUGUUCCAGGGCCUCACCACCUUCACAGGAAAAGACCUUUUCUUUAUAUCCAAGGAACCUUGGAACCUACCUUAAAUCCAUGUCACAUGAGCCAUCAGAUUUCAUUUAUGAUGUUCUAGUUACUAUAAUCUAAUACCAAAUUGUUCAGUUCCUUUCUUGAAAAUACACUUUCUGCAUCUUAAUCUUAAUGCUUACUUACUGUUUAAACUGUUAGUAUGACCCACUGUUUGAGAGCGUAAUCCUUAAGAACUCACCACAUAUAUAAAAUAAAGCACUUAUGCUGUCCUGCUGCCUGAGUAUUGCUAAGGAGUCUGCAUUUUCAUCUGUAUUUGCAUCUGUGGGCUGUCCCUGCAUGUCCCAAUCUUCUCAUUUUCUCAUAAACAGGA
ensembl:lncRNA